GACGAACGCUGGCGGCGUGCUUAACACAUGCAAGUCGAACGGAAAGGCCCUGCUUUUGUGGGGUGCUCGAGUGGCGAACGGGUGAGUAACACGUGAGUAACCUGCCCUUGACUUUGGGAUAACUUCAGGAAACUGGGGCUAAUACCGGAUAGGAGCUCCUGCUGCAUGGUGGGGGUUGGAAAGUUUCGGCGGUUGGGGAUGGACUCGCGGCCUAUCAGCUUGUUGGUGGGGUAGUGGCUUACCAAGGCUUUGACGGGUAGCCGGCCUGAGAGGGUGACCGGCCACAUUGGGACUGAGAUACGGCCCAGACUCCUACGGGAGGCAGCAGUGGUGAAUAUUGCACAAUGGGCGGAAGCCUGAUGCAGCAACGCCGCGUGCGGGAUGACGGCCUUCGGGUUGUAAACCGCUUUCGCCUGUGACGAAGCGUGAGUGACGGUAAUGGGUAAAGAAGCACCGGCUAACUACGUG
rnacentral:rRNA from 1 species